rnacentral:lncRNA from 10 species
UAGAAGUGGAACCCAAAGUAGAGCCUCUUGCAACCCCCAGAAGCACCAAGAGACCAAGAAAAAUACCUACCAGGCCCAUUGUGUUCAUUGCUCUCUUGCAGAAACUGGUGAUUGUGGAGAUCAAGAUUCCAAAAAAAUCCAAAGAACGGGGUUUACAGAAGAAGACUGAGUAUUGUCUGACCUCAAGCUUACGGGAUGCCAGAACAGGCAAAGCAUCUCAGAAAGAUAAAGAUUUGGUUUCCACCAUUUAAUUAUUUUCAUUCAUCUUUAGUAGAAGAGGAUGUAGGAAUCAACACAUAUUUAUAAAGCAUGUGUUAUGUGAAUAUAGCAUUCUGCUCUAGAACAUGAAGAAAAAAAAAGAUGUUGAGCUUUGAUUUUGGGAAACCAGACUACACACAUGAAAAGUGAUUAAUGUAAAGCAGAAGUUACAUACCUAGAAAUAGUAAGCUUUAUGGGUGAUAA